AUGUGGAAGCUAAAUCCGGAAGGAUUGAGACGGGCAGGAUUGAGACGGGCUGUGAACCCCGACCGGGCCAGGCACACCGCCCCAGCCCCUCCCUCGUCGUCGGGCCGGGAGGACAGCGCGCGCGAGCCAGCAAGGGGGAGGGAGAGUGAACGAGCGAGCGCCGGGAGGAGGCGGCCGGCCCUAACGAGCGCCCGCGCCACCUUGUCGGCGCCAGCGGCCAAAGUCAGUAAAAAGGAGCUCAACUCCAACCACGACGGGGCCUACCAAACCUCAGAAAAAGAACAGCAGGAAGCAAUCGAACAUAUUGAUGAAAUACAAAAUGAAAUAGACAGACUUAAUGAACAAGCCGGUGAGGAGAUUUUGAAAGUAGAACAGAAAUAUAACAAACUCCGCCAACCAUUUUUUCAGAAGAGGUCAGAAUUGAUCGCUAAAAUCCCAAAUUUUGGGGUAGCAACAUUUGUCAACCAUCUACAAGUGUCCGUGCUGCUUGGGGAGGAGGAUGAAGAGGCACUGCAUUAUUUGACCAGAGUUGAAGUGACGGAAUUUGAAGAUAUUAAAUCAGGUUACAGAAUAGAUUUUUAUUUUGAUGAAAACCCUUAGUUUGAAAAUAAAGUUCUCUCCAAAGAAUUUCAUCUGAAUGAGAGUGGUGAUCCAUCUUCAAAGUCCACUGAAAUCAAAUGGAAAUCUGGAAAGGAUAUGAUGAAACCUUCCAGUCAAACACAUUAUAAAGCCAGCAAGAAGAGGCAGCAUGAGGAACCAGAGAGCUUCUGUACCUGGUUUACUGACCAUUCUGAUGCAGGUGCAGAUGAAUUAGGAGAGGCCAUCAAAGAUGAUACUUGGCCAAACCCAUUACAGUACUACUUGGUUCUUGAUAUGGAUGAUAAAGAAGGAGAAGAAGAUGAUGAUGAUGAAGAAGAAGGAGGUUUGGAAGAUAUUGAUGAAGAAGGGGAUGAGGAUGGAGGUGAAGAAGAUGAAGAUGAUGAUGGGGGGAAGGAGAGGAGGAUGAAGGAGAUGACUAACUGAUGGAUUCCAACCUUUUUAAAAAU